UGAUACUGAACGGUUUCCCACAAAUUGCUAGUCUAUUGCUCAUAUUAUGCAUUGGUUCAAUAUAUUGCUUCCUCUGAGUUGUCUUUCAUUCAUAGAAUUCCUUUAUUUUUCAGUCAAAGACAUCUCUUUGUUUUUUCACUUCAUUUCUUAUGUCUACUUGGCUAUAAACCAUGGACCCAGUCUGCACUCAGCAAUAUUUAUUGAGCCUCUGUUCUAUGCCAGACACUGUGUUAGGUACUAGGGAUCCACAGACAAACUCAACAAGGUUCUCUGUUUCCCAGGGUCUUACACUCAGGUGGGGAGAAAGAGAGACAGGUGGAGAGUUAAGAUAUAAGGUGCUGAGUCAAUAGUGGAAGAAGCCAACAGAUGCUAUUGGAAAACAGGGGAACGGAAUUCAGAUCUACGUGGGAGCUCAGAGAAGACUAAAUAGAGAAAGUGAAUUCAAUUGACUCUAGAAGGUUGUGUGGGAAUUACCCAGGUGAAGAAAGUGUGUAAGGGGGAACCCAGAAAACAAAAUAGCGUGGAUUAACCCAGAGACUCGAGACUUUGUAAGCACGUUCGCACGUGUAUGUUUUUGCUUUGUUACUGAAUCAGCUUCCGCAGUCUUGAAAACUUCAGGAAUGGGCGCGUUAGCACUCAUCCAGAUAGCCCAGGAAAAGAAGAGAGGCUUAGUUAUAUAAAACACCCUCCAUAUGAAAGAAAUGAAGUGGCGGGAAAUAGUCUGGGGCCGUGCCAUUUCUUGCUCUGGUCUCUGGGUAACAUCACUAGCCCGAGCAAGUUAUUUAUUUGGGGCUGCUUCUUGUACUUCCCUAUUUACAAAGCACUUUACAUGCGUUAUAUCCUUUGAGUCUCAAAAUAAUCCUCUGAGAACAUAAUCGCAAGUAGUAGUCUUCCUAUCAGGGGAUAAAAGAAACUAAGAUUUAGUAAGUUUGCGUUAUUUGAGCAAAUUUGCCCGGAAAGUAAGUUGCAGAUCUGGUUUCCUAGCCAGGUUCUCUGACUCUGUGAUCUCAGCUCUUCCUUAUACCACGUUUUUGUCCAUCAGACAUAUGAACAGCUUUGGAAGAGGAAUGAAUAUGAGACCGCCCGCUUGAAAGUGUAGGAGUUCCACACGCCUAAAAUUCAGGGAGAGGUGUCCCCUGAGAUUGUCCUUAAGAAGACUGAGAUCUAAGGAGGGACAGUGAGGACACCACCAACAGGAAGUACAUGAUGUCAAUCUGUCUCACAUGUCCUUCAGGAUGUUUUAGUACGGACCUCAUGUUCGUGUUCUUCAGUGUCACAGAAGCAGUGAGGUGACAAACUACACGUCCCAGGGGGUGAUCAAGAGGGGUUAAGAGUGAGAAUUGAUUCAGACUUGGGUUCAAAUCCUGUCUCCACUCUUGGCCAUUUGCUUCUGCUAGGCCAAGUCAGUGAUCUACAGAGGGAUGAGGAGGUAGAGAAAUGCAGGACCUGAAACUAUAAUUACCUCCGUGGACAGGAAAACAUGGAAUAUCAGUGCCAAACACGUGUGGACACCAUCCCAUCAAGUGCAGGUACAGAGAAGAGACCGUGUGAGGAUACAGCUAAACAGGGCCAUCUACAAGCCAGGAAGAGAGGUCUCACUAGAAACCAAAUCUGCCUGCUCCUCUAUUUGGGACUUCUAGCCUUCAGAAUUGUGAGAAAAUAAACUUCUGUUGUUAAAACCACCUAGUCCAUGAUAGUUUGUGUGGCAGCCUUAGCAGACUAACACACCUUCUCAGUCUACCGGGUUCCCACAUGUUCUCUGGGGUUCCAGAGUUGAGGUUUUUCAUGUUGACUAUGAAUUCCUACCCAUUUAUUUUUCACUCAAC
rnacentral:lncRNA from 1 species